rnacentral:rRNA from 1 species
UACGGAGGGGGCUAGCGUUGUUCGGAAUUACUGGGCGUAAAGAGCUCGUAGGCGGCCUGUUGCGUCCGCUGUGAAAGCCCGGGGCUUAACCCCGGGUCUGCAGUGGAUACGGGCAGGCUAGAGGUAGGUAGGGGAGAAUGGAAUUCCCGGUGUAGCGGUGAAAUGCGCAGAUAUCGGGAGGAACACCGGUGGCGAAGGCGGUUCUCUGGGCCUUACCUGACGCUGAGGAGCGAAAGCGUGGGGAGCGAACAGG